rnacentral:lncRNA from 10 species
AUCUGAUGGACUCAAUUAAGAAUUUCUACAGAUGGGAAAACCAAAACUCCUUAGUGGCAAGAGGCCAAAGAUGGUCAGCGAAUUGUUGUUUCCGGCUGGUAGGUGACAUUUCUUCUAUUCGCUAAGCCCAUUUUGUGAUAACACAGUUUUCCAUAUUGACAGGAUUGUUUUCAUCACCAAAGGAAAACCGUGGGUCCAUGUUCCUGUGACAAUCUCUUUGUCUCAUUCCCAACACCCUCUGUUCUGUGUUUAAACCUCUACAAACCAGGCAAACUGGGGACUAUGUGUAGGACCCAGACAUGGAGGAGAAAGCAGGCAUUGUUUCUACUUACCUUAUCUGCCCCUCCACUAAGGUACCAGUUAGUACAACCACGUAACACUCACAAGUCCUACACUUCUAAGAUCAGCCCUACUGACUUUGUCACGGUAAGAGUUGGCUGUUGGAGUUGGAAGUUGACUGCAGUUGAAUAACAGAACAAAAACGGAGCUUCAAAAUCAUGGCGUGCCUGCUUCUUCUGGGUUCUUUUAACUGCAAGCAAUCAGCUUUGAAGAGCACGUAGGGAACUUCUGAUGUGAUACAAACUUUUGUCUUUUUUUUUUUUUUUGUCUUUUAAGAGCAUUCAAAAACACUUGGUCUGGCUGUUUCAAUUUUCUCUUUCUCUCCUAUUCCUAGCUCAAGAAUAACAUUUACAUAUGAAAGAAAAUAGGAGAUGGCUCAGAAUAAUAUGUCCAAGGCCACGCCCAGGCGUCAGGGAUUCAUGAAUUUUGUAUACAGUGUAUGAUGUUUCUAGAUUAAAAUAUUUUCAAAGGUAACAUGAUAUAGGCUCCCUCUGUAAUGACUGCAUUUGAUUAUGCUCUGGUAAUUCUAUCAGCUAACUUUAUCUCAGAAAUGUGGGGUACCCACAAUGCAGUGCCUCAACUGUAACCAUAUACCAUUCAGUGAGGCUGUCUAGCUUCACCCUGUCAUUGUGGGGUGGCAGAAGGGAGACACUGUGAUGGGCAACAAGUCAAUCCAAUACUCCUACAAGAGCCAGAUGGAUGUAUUAUUUAUAGUCAGUCUUAGGGCUGUCGUCCUUUUGGGAGUGCGCAUGAAUUUGAUGACCAGCUGUUACAAAUUUGUUAUCCUGAAACUAUUUUAGAAGUUGGGGGGAAGGGAGGAAAGCCUUUUAAAAGUGCGAGUAAAGCAGUAUUUGGAGAAACUUCCUGCCUGUGUUUUACCAGAAAACUUUGCUGGUUUUCCUUGCUCUUUGGUGAGGUUAGCCCUGUCUUUUUAUCCAAUUUUCCCAUUGAUGUAGCCUAGUGUGUGCUGUAAACCACGGACCUUUGCUGUGCUUUGGGAACAUUUAGAAAACUCUUACCAAUUAAUUUUCUGAAAGUAAUUCCAGUGAUAAACUUUAAAACACAUUGAUUUAAAGAAGUAUAAUGUCUUUUUUUUUUUUUUUUUUUUUUUUUGAGAGAGAGUCUCACUCUGUCACCAGGCUGGAGUACAGUGGCGCAAUCUUGGCUCACUGCAACAUCCGCCACCCAGGUUCACGCCAUCUCCCACCUCAGCCUCCCGAGUAGCUGGGAGUACAGGCACGUGCCACCAAGCCCAGCUAAUUUUUGUAUUUUUAGUAGAGGCAGCAUUUCACCAUGUUGGCCAGGAUGGUCUUGAUCUCUUGACCUCAUAACCCACCUGCCUCGGCCUCCCAAAGUGCUGGGAUUACAGGCAUGAGCCACCACACCCAGCCAAAGAAGUAUAAUUUUUAAAUUUUAUUUAUUUAUUUAUUUUGUAAAGAUAGAGUCUUGUUGUGUCCCAGGCUGGAGUACAGUGGCAUGAUUAUGGCUCACCACAGCCUCUACCUCCUGGGUUCAAGCAAUCCUCCUGUCUCAGCCUCCCGAGUAGCUGGGACCACAGGCAUAUACCACCACACCUGGCUAAUUUUUUUUUUCUUUUUUUCUUUUUUUUUUUUUUUUGUAGAGACAGGAUCAUGCUAGGUUGCCCAGGCUCAUCUCGAACUCCUGGGUUCAAGCGAUCCUCCUCCUCAGCCUCCCAAAGUGAUGUGAUUACAGGCAUGAGCCACCAUACCCAGCCUCGAAUAAGUAUAAUUUGUUUUUAAUCUUGUCCCUGAAACGUCUCUGCCCUUCCCUAAACUUUCAAACUUAAGUUUUGCAACCUCCUCCUGGAGAUAAGAAGGGCCAGAAUAUUUUAGGAAAACCCUUCCUCCCUUAACCAAAGACUUAUGCUUCUCUCCUCCGCCCUCCUCCCCCUGCCUAAAGGAAGAACAUUGACUUGUAAUUAUAAUUUUUUAAAAUAAUGAAUACAAGGUUAAAUAUAUUGCACAUUGAUACCUAAUCUAUGCUCCUCAAAAUGAUUUCAAAAAGUUAAGAUUUUGAUUAAAAGUCUAUUUUCAUAUUAGAAGAAAUAUCUAUAGAAUGAAUCUCAAAACAUGUGGUAGGAUUACAGGUAACUUUUAUUUUCCCGUUAGAACUGUUCCUUCAUUUAUUAAACAAAUAUGUAUUGAAUGUACCUGUUAGGCACACAGUACCAUGCAGGUCCUGGAAUCAAAAGGAAAUAUAGAGAACAGUUAGGUUAUGGACUUCGGUGCCAGACUGAGUUUGUAGUUAGGCUCUGCUGCUCACUACUGUGCUAUCUUAGAGAAGUUGCUUAACUUCUCUGUUCCUUAGUUUGUUCAUCUGUAAAAUG